rnacentral:rRNA from 1 species
CCUACGGGAGGCAGCAGUGGGGAAUAUUGGACAAUGGGGGGAACCCUGAUCCAGCGACGCCGCGUGAGUGAAGAAGUAUUUCGGUAUGUAAAGCUCUAUCAGCAGGGAAGAAAGAAAUGACGGUACCUGACUAAGAAGCCCCGGCUAACUACGUGCCAGCAGCCGCGGUAAUACGUAGGAGGCAAGCGUUAUCCGGAAUGACUGGGCGUAAAGGGUGCGUAGGUGGUUUGAUAAGUUGGUAGCGUAACUCCGAGGCUCAACCUCGGCACUACUACCAAAACUGUCGGACUUGAGUGCAGGAGGGGCAACUGGAAUUCCUAGUGUAGCGGUGGAAUGCGUAGAUAUUAGGAGGAACACCAGUGGCGAAGGCGAGUUGCUGGACUGUAACUGACACUGAGGCACGAAAGCGUGGGGAGCAAACAGGAUUAGAUACCCGGGUAGUC